rnacentral:lncRNA from 1 species
UUGAAUUUGCCUUCUAAUUUUCAUAGUACAUACUUUUUCCGUGUACUAAGUAACUACGCAUGAAUGACCACAAGGGUAAGAUUUCAUUGUAUCGUAAUCAAGAUAUUAGAACAACAAUUGCUACUGGCUAUUUUGAAAAAAUUCUGUGUUCCAAAUUUAACUAAAUAGUUUGUAAUUAGUUUUCAAACAGAUUCUUAUCAUCCUACUAAUCGUCUUUUGAUCCAAUUUUUUUUUUUACAAUUAAAAGUUUCUUUCAUUAAAAUAAAGAGUAACACUUAUGGUUCUUUAUACCUUGAUUAAAAUACAACUCCAUCUAAAAUCUGUAAUCCUUUAUCUUCCAUGCAAUUACUUUGUACACAAAACGAGUCAACCAUGAAUCUUUUGAAGGGAAAUUAUUAAUAAAGCAAUUUGAUAUAUUUCGUCAUAAAUUGGUCGAUUAUUGGUUGCCUAAUGACCAGUGACAAAUAUUUCAUGAAUGUAAACUAUCCACUGGACUACCUAUGGGUACAUACCAGGGGCAGAUCCAGCCUUUUUUAAAAGGUGUUUCAACCAAAGAUUAAAAAAAUGUAUGGGAGGGGGAUCCAACUGUUUGUACUCAUUCAAAAGCAUUUUCAAUAUAGUUUUAGUUGUUACAUGAAUUUAAAAAAUGUUUUCAA